GAAAACCUUUUGGACUGUACCAACAUGCUUACCGGGAUCUGCAAUGAAAACUUGUUAACGUUAACCGUCAUUAAAGCCAAAACGAAUUACAAAUGAUUUCUGACAGACGUUAAACCUCAUUGUUUGAUAUCAUAGACUAAAUCAGUGGAGAAUAUAUACCAGACAUAUCUCAGUAAUAGACCCUCCCUACAUCCCCUAGUGAAUACUGCCAAAUGGGCUGGGCCUUCCCCCAGUGCAUGAAACUCUAUGGGGGAGGUACCAUCUGCAGUCCAUUGUGAUUUUGCAAGGUUUUGCUGCUUUCGCAAGCUCUUUAUUAAGAGGAUUCCAUGUGAAGAAAAUUAAUUAACUAUCCAGACACCAGCAGCUACAUCUGGAAAAGAUCUGUCGUUCAAAUCCGAGCAAAGAGCAAGAAUAGUGGAAAGCAAACUUUUAAAACACUGCAAACAAACCAAGAUAUUGAAGAAACCUCAGAAGACUCCGAAAGUGAUGGUGACAAUAUAGGUUUUGCUAGACCACAAAACUCGCCCAGUUUAAGAUUUUUGAGACCAGUGACAAAAGCAACAAGUUAUCAACAGGCAAUGUCAACAAAGAAAAAUGUUGGGGCACAGAAGAAUUCUAAUGGACUGUAAAAACUAAAUACUUAUGGAUUAGCAUGGGCAAAACUGAUAAAGAACCCUACUAAUAACUACAAAAAAAUAAACUACAGAGUCAACUGAGCCCCAAGAUAAUGAAGAAACCAAUGACAGUGAUGAUAUAAGAGGGUUUGCUAGGCCACGAAACUGACCAAUAGAGACCUAUUUGAACAUUGAUGCUGUCAUCUCCUCGCGGCUCUCCCUAGGCCCCCAUUAUGACCUGAUCCUUGGCUUGGGGGGCCAACGUUUGGUGACCAAUUUGAAGAUGAAAAUUAUGAGGAUCAGUAAUAAUAAUCAACAUACCCUUGUUCAUAGCUUUUAUUUCAUUUUGUUCCAUUUAGCAGUUGUUACUGUAAACCCUGUGGUUUCUUUGUUCCCAGGUUCUGUGUCACAUAAACAAAUAAUCAAAUAAUUUCUCCAACAAGACUGACUGACACCUCAUUCAGAUUAUUGCUGCUUCUCUUGGAUCUACUGCCGAAACCUUGGCAAAGUGGCAUUCUUUUCAGUGAAACUAUACUGAACCAUACAGGGAUGGCUGCAAAUCACAUAACAUGAAUUAUGGGAAGAAAUAGGUAGUAGAUAAUGGGAUGUAGGGUAUUAGAAGUCCUAUAUAUAUAUAGAGAUAUAUAUAUAAAUGUAUUAUAAUAAGAUGACUCACUGAAGUAGAGUAGUGGCCCAGGUGCUCCUGCCCCAGAGAAAAUGGAAGGUUUAGGGCACUCUAAGAAGCCACUUAUAGAUUAGACCAAAAAUAAGUUUAGUUAAAAAGUAGUGAUGGGCGAAUCUGUGCCGCUUUGCC